CUUGUCCUUUCUGGUGCACCCCCACUCCCAGCAGGUGGGCUUCUAGUCCUAAGACCUUUCACCCUGCAGGAGUCAGACAGGGGUCGUGGGGGGGGGAAAGGAGGCUCCCCCGCCUCACGUGACGCCACGCACCUCAGAGGUGACUUCCUGCUUUCCCUGCACCACUUCCUGUUCUCACGUUCACGGUCACUUCCGGUCCUGCAGGUCACGCGUCACUUGCGCGCGUCUCGCGCGUUCUGUAGGCGCCUCUCGCUCCGCCGCCUUGGGCGCGCGCUUGGGCCGCCUCGGCUCCGUUCGCCCUCAGCUGCCGCCACCAGGGUCCGAGUCCUGCGUCCCGGGUCUCGGGCCAGGCUCUGCCUUCGAAGGACUAAGCUUUUCCCCAAGAAGAAGAAGGUUGGAAGAGCCCAGAAUGGCACCUGUGCUUCUGACAGCCAGGGCCUGUCAGGUGCGAUGAGGGGGAAUGAGUCUUCCUCUUGCUCUCUGAUGCUGACGUCAUCCCAGCGGUCUGGGCCAUCCAAGCGGACCAUCCUCAGGCCUCUUCGGCAGAUGGGUCUAGCCACACAAACAGGCUUCCCGCUUCCCCCCUUCUCAUGUAGGCCCGUGAUGGUUCAGCAGGUCCACGUUUCCCAGGGGUUCUCAGGCCAUGAUUGGUGGUAUGAUGAGAAGGUGCCCUCUGUAUCUUCUCGACCAUCCUGCUGUUGAGAUGAUGUCUUCCCAAAGUCCCUUCGACAUUGACAGCUUCCAUCUUGUGGCAUGUUGACUAGUUUGCUGGAUUUGAGGUGAAACAUAAAAGUGAUGUUAACGUACAUGUCACUUAAUGAUGUCUCCUUUCCUUCUUUGUUUGCCAGCUGUGUUUCUCUUUUCCUCAUCUUUAAACUCCUAGAGAAAGCCAUAUCUGCUCAUUGUCUUUCUCUCCCUUUUCCUCUCCCUUAACAGCCCUUCAGUAAGCUGGUUUUCUCAUUAUCACUUGGCCAAUACAGUUUCCUCCCAACCUACCACUGACUUCUUAAGUAAGCCAGACCCGGUGGCUCUUUCUCGACCUCUCUGCACCUUUGACAUGUGGCUCACUUUCUCUCCUGGGUAUUCUUUUUCUAUGACCCUGCUCUGCCUUGCUUCUCCAGGCUGCCCGACUGCUCCUUCUCAGUCUCCUUUGCUGGCUUAUCAUCUUUCUGUCAUGUCCCCUGCCUCAAGGUUCUGCCCGUAACCUCUCUUUUCUCACUGGAUAACCUCAUUGGUCACUGUGGACUUAGCUGUCAUCCCUGUGCAGAUAACGCUCAGUGUCAGCUCUCUUCUUUCUGCGGAAUGCCAGCUCUGCAUCCCUGCACGUCAGACGGCACGUGCCAGAGGCAUCUCCAGUCCACAAGAGAACUCACCUUUCCCCCAGAUCUCUUCUGAACUUGCCUCUGUGUGCCCAGGGCCCUGCCCCUGUGGCUCAGUCCAGGGCACAGCUUUGGAGGAACCCUGACUCCUGACACUCGCCCCUUCACUUCACAAAUCCACUUCAUUGCCAGGUCUUAACUCUUCUGUCUCCACAGUCUUUCUUUGUCCACUCAUGGAGCCACCUGCUGGCUCAAGUCCUUGUCACCACUGACUUCCACUAUCUCAAGCUCUUCUGUGUGGCAUUGAGGAGCCCAUAGAAAUGGCUGUUACUGCAAGCCUCUCGGGCAGGACUUCCCAGGCUCUGUGGGCUGGCCCCCUGGUCCUUGGCUGCGUGGGGGCCCUCCCGCGAGACCAUCCCAUCUCCUGACUCUGAGCCUUUGACUUGGCAUUCCAGGCCCCGGGUGAUUCUCCCUCCUCCCCUCCUUAGUGUCUUUCAGCAGCUCUCAGCUCCGGGGAAGCUCUCUGCCUGAGCCUUUCCUGGUCCCCUCUGCCCUCAGACGCUGCUGGAACACUUCCCUGCAUUUGCUUGCUGUAGGCCUGGGGGCGGGCUUGUCUUUUCCCUGCCGGGGUGUAAGCCCCUCGAAGGCACAGUCUGGUUUACUCCUGCCUUUCUACCCAGCACCCAGCGCAGUGCCUGGCACUUAGUGGGCACUUCAUAGCUUCUCGUUGAGUGUCAUUUUCACACCGUACUCCCAUCAUUCCCCAGCAGUUUCUAAAGCACGUCAGCUCCCUUGGCAAGGUUGUACAUAAGCAAGCACUUGAACCACAGAAUGAGAGGCGGCUUGGUGUCAUGGAAAGAAUGUUGGCCUGGGGUUCCGAAGGCCUGGAGUGGAGGCCAAGCCAUGUGGCCUUCCUUAGGUGCAGGUUUUUCUUCUUUAACUUGGAGAUAAAUGCAUACUUGCACUGCAAAUAUGUGCUGCUCUUACUAUUGUGGGACUCAGAUCUCGUGCAGAAUGAGCCACAUGUCAUAGGUGCUCAUACACUGGCUUUAGAAUGCUCCAAAGCCCUCCAUGCAAGUCCUGCCCGCUCCCCCUUGCCCCCGGGCCCAUGUGAAGGUUGCUGGCUGGGCUAGCACGCAUGUGUUUGGUGUUUCAGGAGUCAGUGACCUUCAAGGACGUAGCCAUAGACUUCACCCAGGAGGAGUGGGGGCACCUGGACUCUUCCCAGAAGGAACUGUACAGGGAGGUGAUGCUCGAGAACUAUAGCAACCUGGUGUGCCUGGGUAAGGCCAGCUUCCCCCGGGACUCCGAAUGUGCACUUUGGGCUCCUUUGGUUCCAGCUUGAAAUGGUUUAGGGUAUCUCACGUGCUGUGCCAUUAUUGUUUGGCCCACAGAGACCAGAGGUUAUCCUUUGGGGAACCAAAGUCAGGGGGUUUUUUUGUUUAUUUUUGACAAACUAUUUCCAGGUUAAAGGUAUUUGCUUUAUACAGCUGGGAACUGGAGGCUUGAUGCCUCUCUGCCCUGCCCACCUCCCCUCUACCCCUCGGCCUUCCCUCAGUUCCAAGCCUCUGCUAAAAGUUCUGUGGAGAUCCCUGAAUGUAGGAAAGGUUCCUGUUCUCUCGGGGUGGGAGAGCGCUAGUGAACUGUUUUCCUUCCUAAGUCCAGCCGCAUUUUGUGACUUGUUCCCUUCAUACUCCAGAGCAUCCUUCAGAGAUCCUCAGAGCCACCUUGUGGCUCUUAGCAUGGCCACACUUUCCCCAAGCCAGAAGGGAGAGGACUGACUCUGAGAUGUCUCUCUGUCCCCUUCCUUUUCCCAUUUUGGACGACCAGGACUUGCAGCCUCCAGACCAGACCUGAUUUCCCAUUUGAAGCAAGGGGAAGCGCCUUGGGUGGCAAGGAGAGAUGUGGAGGCAGGCACGUGGCCAGGUGAGUGAGGGAGGGAGGGAAAUGUACAAGCAGCGUUGCUGCGGCUGCAGCUUGUGACGUGUGUGACGGUCGCAUCUCGGAACUCCCCUGGCGUCUGGACAUCUGGGGUGCUCUGGUUGUAAGCUGCUUCAUAGGCCUUUAUCCUGACCCCAGGAAAUCACCUUCCUCCCGUCGUGUGUCUCCUAGGCUCAGAGAAAGAGGUGCCUUUGAGGGGAGGGGGAGAAUCUGUAUUUGCCCUCAGCUCUGUUCAUCAGCAAACAUUUAUCGAGCAGCCACCAUAGCUUAGUGGCUGAGGGCUGCUAGGUGACACCAUAGUGCACAGAGCACUGGGCCCAGCAUCAGGAAGGCUCAUUAUCCUGAGUUCAAAUCCAGCCUUAGACACUUACAGGCUGUGUGACCCUGGGCAGGUCACUUAGCCCCAUUUGCCUCAGUUCCUCAUCUGUAAAAUGAGCCAGAGAAGGACAUGGCAAACCCCUCCAGUGUCUUUGCCAAGAAAACCCCAAGUGGGGUCAUAAAGAGUCAGACACUACUGGAGUGACUGAACAAAAAACCGACUGUGGGUCAGGGACAGGACUUAGCACUGGGGCUGCAAAGGGAGAAAGGAGACGGCCCCUGCCCUCAAGGAGCUUAGAUUCUGGGAGGCAGCGUAGCAGGUGAUGGAGGAGACAGCAGCCACCACGGGGACCAGAGAAGUUUCACAGAAGGUGCCACUGGAUCUGAGCUUGGAAGGGACUAGGGGCUAACGGGACAGAGGUGAGAGGGAGGGUAUGAGCACAUUAGGGCUAGUCUGUGCACAAGACCUGGCGAUGAGAGGUGGAGUGGCAGUGUGAGAACGUCAAUGAAGACAGACUGGGGAGUGUAGGAAGGGAAGGACGGUAGAGACCAGAAAAGCAGGUUAGAGCCGAGUGGAGAGAGGGCUGUAAAUGCCAAGGGAGGAGUCCCCUUUGGAGCCCAGACAUGAGGGGAUUUGUAGUGAAUCCUGCCAGAGAUUUAGGCCAAUCCCUCUGGUGCCUGUGUGGGGCGCGGUUUGGAGGACAGACGCAGGGCAGGGGGCCCACUGCAGAGGCUAUUGCAGCUCAGUUCACACGUAUCUUCCCAUAUUUCUCUGAUUUCCUAUAAUAUUUAUGAUUUCUUCUGGUAUGAUAAUUUUCCACACAUUCCUCUACCACAAUUUUUUCAGGUAUUUCCCAGUCACUGGGAACCUGCAUUUUCAAGUCUUCUACAAAAACUGUCAAGAAAUACGUAGCUCACUUAAUCAUAGUUACCCAAAGAGAAAUGUCACACAAUGCUCAGGCUUCAGAGGGUUCCAAAGCCAGCGUAUUGAGUACUUCCUGUGUGUGGCUCACAUUGCACUAGAUUUUGAACAUAUAAUUUAAUGAAAUAGCAAGGAAAAAUGAAAUGAUAUGCUGUAUAUAAUUAAAUGCCAAUAAAGCAGACAUCUACAUAUGCA
rnacentral:lncRNA from 1 species